CUCUCUCUCUCUCUCCGGCCGAUGGAGCGGGGCUAGCGACUGGCGAGGCGAGCGACGGCCGGUGCAGCGGCGCGACCUGGCGACCGGGCCGAGGCGACGGCGGCGCGAGCCGUGGCGACGACGGUCGGGCGCCGGUCGGCCCAGCGCGGCAGCGGCCUGAGGGCGGCCAGGCGGCGUCAGGCGAAUGGGGGAGAAGGCCGGCGCGGUGAGGAGGGAGCUUGGCGGCAGGGGGAAGGACGGCUGCCGCUAGCGGCGCUCGGAGCGGGCGGCGUCGGCGCAGCCGUGCUCGGCUAGGCGGCGUCUGGGCGGCAGCUUGCCUUGCCUGAAGAACAAAUUCAAAGACAACUCACUAGAACUGUUGUAUUGAUUUGCUACAAGAACCUGCAUGUUUUGAGUUUCUGCAGGAAUUCUGGAGGUUCAAUUCCUGCAAUGCUGAAACUCCUCAAGAUUCAGUUC
rnacentral:sRNA from 1 species